AUUGAACGCUGGCGGCAUGCCUUACACAUGCAAGUCGAACGGCAGCACGGGUGCUUGCACCUGGUGGCGAGUGGCGAACGGGUGAGUAAUACAUCGGAACAUGUCCUGUAGUGGGGGAUAGCCCGGCGAAAGCCGGAUUAAUACCGCGUACGAUCUACGGAUGAAAGCGGGGGACCUUCGGGCCUCGCGCUAUAGGGUUGGCCGAUGGCUGAUUAGCUAGUUGGUGGGGUAAAGGCCUACCAAGGCGACGAUCAGUAGCUGGUCUGAGAGGACGACCAGCCACACUGGGACUGAGACACGGCCCAGACUCCUACGGGAGGCAGCAGUGGGGAAUUUUGGACAAUGGGCGAAAGCCUGAUCCAGCAAUGCCGCGUGUGUGAAGAAGGCCUUCGGGUUGUAAAGCACUUUUGUCCGGAAAGAAAUCCUUGGCCCUAAUACGGUCGGGGGAUGACGGUACCGGAAGAAUAAGCACCGGCUAACUACGUG
rnacentral:rRNA from 1 species